rnacentral:lncRNA from 1 species
CCCCAGCCCAAAGGAACGCCCCAGGAACUGGAGCUCCCACCCUGUCACUCCCCAGGUGACCAGCAAGUUCCCAAGCUCUGCUCUCAUGGAGGCAGGACACCAAGUGCUGCAGCCUCACCUGCCUGUGCCACACCUGGCUAGAGAUCACCCCAAUCCUGCUGGAGCAGCUGAGCCUCCUGCGGCCUCUGCAGCACCAAGUGCAAGGGGAAGGAUGCAGCUCCCUGCUUCUCCAGCUGUGAGAAGGAAGGCUGGUUCCUCCAUCCUGCUGCCAGAUUGUGCUCCACACUGGGGCACAAGGCAGAUUCACCCCCAGGAGGGUGACACUGAGGGGGACAGGGUGCUUAGGUGGAGUCAGAGAGAACCGACUCAUUAUCCAAACACACCCCAUCCUAAGGCUGGGAGCUCCUGUGCACCCCACAGGGGUUUAUCCCCUCAGAGUGAGCAGUAGUAAAUCUGGAGUUCUCCCUGAAGAGUUGCAGAGAGGGAGAUGAAGUCUGUUGUGAAGAAAAAUAACUCCCUACAAGAUGAGAACCCACAUGUGGCUGCAAUUUAGGAAGCACUGUCCUGAAGUCCACCUUCUCCUGGGUUUUGCCAGUGGAUCCACAUCAGAUUCUGACCACCCAGCUCCUGCCACCCCAGCACUGCUGCUCCAAGGGGCACUCUGUCAGCGCCAGAUGCCAGCUGAGGAUCCACGCUGCUCCCACAGGGUGCAGGUGUCCCUCCUGCAUGCUGGCCUGCGGUGGGAGCGGUUUGGUAGCGCGGGUGCUGGGCACAAGUCAGGUAUAUGGUCUGUGAGAAACACCUGACAGAGGAGGACCUGGGUCAGUACUUUCCAAGGAAGCCUCAGAGGAGCAAUGCUGGAAGCACAGAGUGCUGGGGCAGCAGGGCUGGAAGGCUCACAGAGCUGUGGGACAAUGAGGACAAAUCCCCAGCCCCAAGGAUGGGGCAGGCUUACCCCUAGCCUGGCACUGGGCUGGAGGAAGAGGAGGGUGAGGAAGGCUGGUCCCAAACCUGGGGAGCAGAGCCAGCAGCUUCCAGGUCCUGUGUCCUUGGCCCACUUCUAGCACGAGGCAGGAGGAGUGAUCAUCUCACCCUUCUCCUUCCCACAUGCUGGGAGCGGCUGCUGUUACUCCUGGCCAUCGAUGAUGUUUGUGGUGUCAGAGGAGCCUCUGCUGAGGGCUGGCCCAUGAAAUAUGCAUGGCAUGGCCUCUCCUUCUAACUGCACCUCCUCCCGUGCCAAAUUCCCUCCUCAACUAUUUGUCUCACAUUCAAAUGUUUCUUCACAUUUAACGGCUUCCCAAGCCCUCCAUAACAGCUUCUCCUGGAUUUAUUCCCAUUGCUGCCACAAUGAGUGGCCGAGGAAGGACUUGGCUGCGUGUUACCCAGCCUCAGCCAUGCUCCUCGUGCGGGAUGCAGCAGCAUGGCUGUGUCUGUGAUGCGUGCUCCAGCCAUGGGCUGCACUGAGCUCCCCACGCCAGCUGCAGCCACCGGGAGCAGGGACCAGCCCCUCUGUGCCAGCAGCCCCUGCCUGCCCAUGCUGGGAACAGGGACAGUGGCCUCAAAGGCAUGAUGUCACACCCAAGGGAGACUGGGAGCUGGGGGAUCAGCACUCUGCAAGGCCACGGUGAUCCACAAGGGCUUGGUACAGUCCCCACGGCAGCCUGGGGCAUCCCUUGUUGGUCUCCCUGCCACUGGCAGGGCUGCCAGCUCGAGGAUUUUCUCUGCUUCAAGUACCACCAUCCUGAGAGAAACCUCAUCAGAUUUCACUUCCAUCAAAAGCGGCUUUUUAACAUUUCAUCUCUGAGUUUGGGUCUGAGACUAAAGUUUCUUCAGAAACUCAGACCUGGUUCUGCACCCAGCUGGAUGCUGCAGGGCUGCAGCUCUGCUGGCACAGCAGGCAGCACUUGGAAGCUUUCCCUGCUAAGACCAGGCAAGUGUUUCCCAGGGGUGAUUGGUGCCAUUAGAGCCUUCAAAGGGAAUUUUCUCUGUGGCAGUUGGCGGAGAAACAAGGUUUGAACAGCAUCCCAAGAAUUCGUAUGUGCAGUCUCAUCAUGGCGAGGAACUUUGGGUAAAUUAUUAUUAUCUCUAAAUGGCACAAAAGAGUUAGCACAGGGAAUGUUUUGAAGGAAGUGGAUGCUUUGCCAGAGCUUUGUACCCAGCUCUGUCAGAGGCAAUGCCACUGCCUGGCUGUCUCCGUGGAAGGACAAGAUGUUCCCAAAAAAACCUUACAAAUGAGCUCAGGGGAUCCCCGUGGUUUCACUGCCGGUUACAGCAAUGUCAGUGUUGGGGAGGCAGGGAAAACAAUUGCAGGAACUAAUUUUCCCGUGUCCUGCAUGCGCUGAGCAUUCCCAGCACAAGAUGUCACUGAGGAGCUGGAUUUGGACAGCCCUGCAUCAGCCCGGAGUCAUCCCCCGGGAGCCACAGGAAACGGGGCUGGAGAGGUGGGCAUGGAGAAGGAACAUGGUCACAGAGAGAGGACGUGGGCACAGAGAAGGGACACCGGCACAGAAUCACAGAAUCACAGAAUAAUGAGGUUGGAAGAGACCUCUAAGAUCAUCAAGUCCAACCGAUGCCCUAACACCACAACUAGACUAUAGCACCAAGUGCCAAGUCCAGUCUUUUUUUAAACAUAUCCAGAGAUGGUGACUCCACCACCUCCCUGGGCAGACCAUUCCAGUACUUUAUUAUUCUUUUGGUGAAAAUUUUUUCCUAAUAUCCAACCUAAACCUUUCCUGACGUAGCUUGAGACUGUGUCCUCUUGUUCUGUCAGUGCUGACUGGGGGAAGAGACCGACCCCCACCUGUCUGCAGCUCCCUUCAGGGAGUUGUAGAGAGCAAUAAGGUCACCUCUAAGCCUCCUCUUCUCCAGGCUAAACAAUCCCAGUUCCUUCAAACGUUCCUCACAGGGUUUGUGUUCCCAGCCCCUCUCCAGCCUCGUUGCCUCCUCUGGAUGCGCUCGGGUGUCUCAACGUCCAUCCCAAACUGAGGGGCCAGAACUGGACACAGCACUCAAGGUGUGGCCUCACCAGUGCCGAGUACAGGGGAAGGAUGACCCCCCCUAGUUCUGCUGGUCACACCAUUGCUGAUACAGGCCAGGAGCCAUUGGCCUUUUUGGCCACCAGGGCACACUGCUGGCUCAUGUUUAGUUGGCUGUCGACCAGUGCCCCCAGGUCCCUUUCUGCCUGGACACUGUCCAGCCUGUAAUGUUGCAGGGGGUUAUUGUGGCCAAAAUGCAGGACUCAACACUUGGAUUUAUUAAACAUCAUCUUAUUGGACUCUGCCCGUCCCUCCAACUGAUCUAAGUCUCUCUGCAGAGCCCUCCUACCUUCCAACAGAUGGACACACGCUCCCAGCUUAGUGUCAUCUGCAGAUUUACUAAUGAAGGACUCGAUGCCCUCAUCCAUGUGGUCAAUAAAAACAUGGAACAGAGCUGGCCCAGCACAGAGCCCUGAGGGACACCACUGGUGCCUGUCCCCAGCUGGAUGCAGCACUGCUCACCACUCUCUGGGCCGGCCAUGCAGCCAGUUCUGAGCCCAGCACAGAGCGCUCCUGGCCCAGCCGUGGGCUGCAGCUUUUCCAGGAGUGCUGUGGGAAACAGUGCCAAAGGCCUUGCUGGAGUCCAGACACAUCCACAGCCUGUCCCGCAUCCACCGGAGGCUCACCUGGUCAUGAAAGGAGACCAGGUUGGUCAAACACGACCUACCCCUCCUAAACCCCUGCUGGCUGGGUCUGAUACCCUGGCCAUCCUUAAGUGCUGUGUGACAGCACUAAGUAUGAACUGUUCCAUUAUCUUACCUGGUACUGAGGUCAGGCUAACUGGCCUGUAAUUAGCAGGAUCCUCCUUCCUACCUUUUUUGUAAAUGGGUGUCACAUUGGCCAGUUUCCAAUAGUCUGGGACCUCACCAGUGAGCCACGACUCCUGAUAAAUGAUGGAGAGCAGCUUCGCAAGCACAUCUGCCAGCUCCCUCAUCACCCUGGGGUGGAUUCCAUCUGGUCCCAUUGAUUUAUAAAUAUCCAAGUGUCCCAGUAGUUCUCUGACUGCCUCUUCUUGGAUAACAAGAGGACCAUUCUGCUCCCUGGCAUCACCUACCAACCCCUGAGGACAGUUGUCUUGAGGACAAGCUGUCUUACCACUAAAGAAUGAGGCGAAGAUAGCAUUAAGCAUUUUUGCCUUUUCCUCAUCUUUAGUUACUAGGUUGCCUGCCACAUCCACUAAGGAACAGAGAUCGGUUAUACCCUUCCUUUUACUAUUCAUAUAUUUGUAAAAACUUUUUUUUUAUUUUUAACAGAAGUUGCCAAGUUGAGUUCAAACUGGCCUCCCUGAUGUAUGAACAUAUGCAGCUGUGAUGCAGCUGUGAAACAAUCCUGCAAGGCCAAGACUCAGGAGAUUCCUGGACAUGGGGUGUCAGGGAUGUGCUCAGCAAUCUCUGGAGCUCAGCACUGGGUGUGUCAGGAGGAACAGCUCAGACAAACGCCUCCCAGGAGCAGGACAGGAACUUGUCCUGCCUGGGAAGAUCCCAAGGUCCUGCCAGCCCUCUCCAGUGCUCCGCAGAGCUCAACAGCCCCAGCCCAUGACAAGGGAGCUAAGUCUGCUGCCUCAAGUAACCCAAGCACCCAUGGACCCCACCAAAUGAGUGAGGAUUCAGCUGAAACCCCUAAAAUGUUCACAAACACAUCAGGAGGAUAGAAGUACAGGGUCUUGAAACAUCUCUCCCAUAACAGGUCCUGCAGGUCUGAGAUCCUUCUCCAAGUGUUU